rnacentral:misc_RNA from 1 species
AAUAGAAAGACAAACAGGAUAUAGUGUCAACUCAAAUUAAAAGCAACGUAAAUUCUAAAACCAAUAGAAAUACAAUUUCGUGUGGUUAAAAGGCUUCCAUAUUUACAUGAAUGACUGGAGACAUUAUGUUUAUUUGGCUUGAGACUAGGAGUUCCAUGGCAAUGCUCAACAUUGGAAUAGAAUAACCUGUCACUAUUUACAAUAAUUUGAUCCAAUGUAAGUAU